rnacentral:rRNA from 1 species
UAACGCGUAGGUAACCUGCCUUGUAGCGGGGGAUAACUAUUGGAAACGAUAGCUAAUACCGCAUAACAAUGGGUGACUCAUGUCAUUUAUUUGAAAGGGGCAAAUGCUCCACUACAAGAUGGACCUGCGUUGUAUUAGCUAGUAGGUGAGGUAACGGCUCACCUAGGCGACGAUACAUAGCCGACCUGAGAGGGUGAUCGGCCACACUGGGAUGAGACACGGCCCAG